CUUUUAAACCAUCGAUCGUUCAGGGGAAAUAACAAUGGACCAAUAUUUGACCAGAAGGAAGGAAAACGUAAAAAAAUCGGAAACGGGCGAUUACCUCGUAAUUGCGUGCAACGCCGUGUUAAUUUUGCUAAACCACGUCCGAUACAAUUAGUGAGUGCAUUUAAAAAGAUCACGGGCGAAAUUAAAAAUAUGGGAACGGCUGGAGCGUGGCGGCGAAACGUCCGUAGCAGGAUCACCGAUAUGACCCAUUAUGUCAUGCGAAUACUUCAGUCGUAUAAAGCAAAA
rnacentral:misc_RNA from 1 species